UACGUAGGGUGCAGGCGUUAAUCGGAAUUACUGGGCGUAAAGCGUGCGCAGGCGGUCUUUUAAGUCAGAUGUGAAAUCCCCGGGCUUAACCUGGGAAUGGCAUUUGGGACUGCAAGGCUUGAGUGCGGCAGAGGAGACUAGAAUUCCUGGUGUAGCAGUGAAAUGCGUAGAUAUCAGGAGGAAUACCGAUGGCGAAGGCAGGUCUCUGGGCUGACACUGACGCUCAUGCACGAAAGCGUGGGGAGCAAACAGG
rnacentral:rRNA from 1 species